GGCGAGUUGGUAGAGUGGUUAUGCAGCGGAUUGCAAAUCCGCGUACACCGGUUCGAUUCCGGUACUCGCCUCCA
rnacentral:tRNA from 1 species